rnacentral:pre_miRNA from 1 species
GUAAGGGCCUGAUCUGAAGCCCAUUAAAGUCAAUGGGCAUCCUUCCAUUGACUUCAGUGGGCUUUGGAUCUGGCCCUAAGUAC